rnacentral:lncRNA from 1 species
UAUAUAAGCAACAAUAGUCCUGAAAUAUUUUAUCAGGGUUCACAAGUUCAGGAUAUGCAAUUGAAAACUUCACAAUUCUUAUCAGCAAUUGAAAUCAGAAUUUCAAACUUACAGAAGAAUUGUCGAAUUGGAUUCAUCACAUUUUUACUUAAAAACCAAAGGUUAGGCUGCUGAUCAGUCACGCACUAACCCCGAACAUGGCACACAGCCCUGUUCUCUAUACUGGAUCCAAGGCACACAUUGGCCUAUAAUUGACCACGAAUCUGGUCUGACCACGAAUCUGGUCCACAUAUUUUAUAAAAACUAAUCCAAUUCUAACAAUUUAAAUCAAUAGACAAUUCAAUCAACAGAACAGAAUCAUAAUCAUUAUCAACAACAGAAAUAUUUCAAAUCAACUUUUGGGAAUCAACAUUUCAUAAACCACAGUCUGUCUUUUGAUAAAUCAUAGUUCAGGAAAUUCCUAACUAUUCAGUAUCCUCCAUUAUCGGCUAAGCAACUGAAUUUAGCCUGCUAAACCAGCAUGACAAUGGCGGGUUGAAUAAUCAAGAAGAUCCCAGUUCAUUCUAGGUUCUAACUAUCACUGAGCAACACAUGCUUCAAUGACGGUCUGAACUUCGAAUUAAUUUGUAAAGCUGGUAUUUUUAAUAUCUUGAGGAUUGGAAAGAAUGGAUCAGAAUACUUGUAAUAGAAAUUGAGAGUAAUUAGGUGUUUGGAUUUUCAAAACUUGGAAGAAGAAAACAAUCAUGGGUUUCAUGCUCAGAAGUAAGAGUUUAUUUGAGAAGGGUUUCAGUAUAAACAAUAUCAUAAUCUUGACAGAAUAAUCAGAACAUGCAAUAUAUAUAUGAGGAAGGAUUUAGGAAAACUUGCCUUAAAUCCGAUUCCAGUCUCAUAUCUCAAUCUCAUCUUUCCACUUUCACACUCUAUGCAUAUCAUAGUCUCUAGACCAUCUUUGGCUAUACUCUAUUCGCCACACUGCUUCGUUUACUCGAUUCGUUCCUUAUUCGCUUUGUAACAUCGUUUGACCUUCUGAACGUCUUCGAUCGUAUCCGUCUCGUCCAAACCCUUUACGAGAAUAAG